ACGAUGCCUGCUGAAGAAUUUAUGAAAGCCCUUAAAAACGGAAACGUUGCAAAAGAAAUAAAUGAAAAUAACGACGAGGAUGAUACUGAUGGGUCGACUGGUUCUCAAGCUCGG
rnacentral:sRNA from 1 species